UUUGACUUUUAAAUACAAGAUUUAAGAGAAGAAUAAAAAAGGAUAUGGAUUUUAUUGAGGACGCCCCAGUGUUUGAUACAAUCAACACAAUGUCAUCUGCAAAUAAAAGCAUCUGGAAGAACUCACCAUUCUGCAAUGAAUCCCUUUUCAACUUGAACUCCAUUGGCUCUCCUCCAUGGCAGUGAUGAAUUCCGCUGGAAAACAUGUCUCCCUGUUUUAUGUCUCACCUGAUAUUAAUGAUCAGAAGCUCAUCUUGUCUCUGUUAUUAUUUCUUUUAUAGAAUCUUGAAUAAUUUUGAUGGAUGCAGGAGAGAUACCUAGAUGGAAAAGAACCUUUAUGGCAGCAUUUUGAUUUACUGGACCAAAGGCUUUUUUAUAAUCAACAAAAAAUAAGAACAUUGAGAUUUUGUAUUCUCAUUAUCUUUUAGCCAAAUGUGUGAUGAUGAAAAUGUGAUCUACUGUAGAAUGUUCUUGCAAAAACCUCCACAUAAUAAAUUAGUAGGCAAAAAGCCUACUAAUCACAUCAUCAAAGAUAUCCUCAAUACACAUGUAGAUUAUUCUUAUAAAAAUUACAUAUAUAUAUAUAUGGGAAAGUAAGCAUAUGGGUUAGUAAGUGCUACUCUUAUGGUCACUUUUUUUGUAGUCUUAACUAAUAAAACUAAUAAAUUUCCA